rnacentral:rRNA from 1 species
UACGUAGGGUGCAAGCGUUGUCCGGAAUUAUUGGGCGUAAAGAGCUCGUAGGCGGUCUGUCGCGUCGGCUGUGAAAUCCCGAGGCUCAACCUCGGGUCUGCAGUCGAUACGGGCAAACUGGAGUACUGCAGGGGAGACUGGAAUUCCUGGUGUAGCGGUGAAAUGCGCAGAUAUCAGGAGGAACACCAAUGGCGAAGGCAGCUCGCUGGGACGGUACUGACGCUGAGGCGCGAAAGCGUGGGGAGCAAACAGG